rnacentral:rRNA from 1 species
GACGAACGCUGGCGGCGUGCUUAACACAUGCAAGUCGAACGGCAGGACCCUGCUUUUGUGGGGUGCCCGAGUGGCGAACGGGUGAGUAACACGUGUGUAACCUGCCCUUGACUUUGGGAUAACUUCAGGAAACUGGGGCUAAUACCGGAUAGGAGCUCAUGCUGCGUGGUGGGGGUUGGAUAGUUUCGGCGGUAGUGGAUGGACUCGCGGCUUAUCAGCUUGUUGGUGGGGUAGUGGCUUACCCAGUAUUUGACGGGUAGCCGGCCUGUGAGGGUGAACGGCGACAAGAGUACUGAGAGAGGGAGCAGACGGGUACGGUAGGCAACAGGGGGGAGUAUGGCACAACGAUCGCAAGUCUGAGGCGACGGCGCUGCGGGCGUGAUGACGGCCUGUGGGGUAAGAACCGCUUUCGCCUGUGACGAAGCGUGAGUGACGGUAAUGGGUAAAGAAGCACCGGCUAACUACGUG